GUGAGAGUCAUCUGGCUUCAACAUCACCCCACUGAUCACCAGGGUUGCUUGGGCUGAUCUGUCUGGCUAGGCAGGUGCCCCUUCCAACCUUACUGUUCCAUGUGCAUCCCUCCUGAAGCCAAGAGCUUAAUCGAAGGGAGCAACCUUCCCAGAUAGAGAGGACUGUUGGUCAUCCAGGGUAUACUGGUUGUUGUGCUACUGUGCUAGAACCUCCAGAUAAGUUCUCAGUAUAAACCAGUGAUUCUCAGAAACAGUUAUAUUAAAAAUAAAUUAUUAUCCUGAUUAAUACAUU
ensembl:misc_RNA 7SK 7SK RNA